UUGAAUUACUUUAUUAAAAAAAUAGGACAAGCAUUACAUUUUCGAAAAGAGAAACAACAAAAAAAAAGAUGUGCAUUAACCCCCUCCACGUCAUGGGCGACUUCAUCUCCUGACAGACUAUAACUAACUGCGAAUAUUUAUUUUAAUCCUUGUGUCAUACAUAUCAUGAGCUCGCCACCCCCUGCGCGAUGUCUGCAUGUCUUGGCAGUACAUUUUAGUUUCUAUAGCUAAACAGGAAGAGUCUCAGUAAAGAUAUCAGUAUUAUGAAAAAUGCAGCGACAGCCUUUUUUAAGAAAAAAAUUCCAGUCGAUUUAACAGAAUAUAACUCUUUGAGGGCUACAUAACAGUACGUCCAAAAAUAACAAGACAGUUAGAAUUAUUGAUUUUAUUUAACUUCGGAGAUUCACAUGAAUUAAAUUAUGUUCAUAAGAUUGAAUUAUUAUUUGGCGAAAUGCACAGGGCUGCAGGAUAAAUGUCUACUGACAAAAUUGUAAUAGAUUUUUUGAAAUACCAAAUCCAGCUUUAUUAAAUUGAAUGAUUUUAAAUUGUGACUGCCCAUCUUCUCUUAUUCCCCCAAACCCGUUGCUUUAUUAUUAGGCAUAAUCUAAAACUAUUCUAUGUAAGGAUUUUAAAAGCUAUUUUCAUUUAAAAAGUCUCGGUAAUAAAUGAUAUUUACAGUUUAAUUGUUCAUCACAUACUUUUAGUUUACAAUGUCUUGAAAAGCUAAACUGCGAUACAUUUCUGUGUGCUGUAUGUAGUGGCAAAAAUAUGCUAACUUUUCAUCAAUCUUUAAUCGAUUCGAAAAUGUCGUUCAAUAAUAUCACAUACAACUGAUACUAACAUCGGGUUCUUAAUUAUACUUGAUUCAUAAUUGAAAAUGGACUUCCAAAUUAAAUGACUUGUUCGAAUACCCAAGAUCCCAGAGGGUUUGAGUCACCCAGAUAUGUUAAAUAUCAAUCCUGAAUUUGCAAGUAAAGAACUGCAGAUUCUCAAACGCGUUUCCAGCCCGCUAUUAAAAUGAAGAGGACCCUGGGCACUCCACAGUCACCGUUCACCCAGAUGGAAAGAUAAUUCAUAAUUCAGCGCUGGCAGGAUGUUCAGUGGCAUUUUCCAAAUGGAUUUCAUUCGGAGCAAAGUGACUCGCGAGGCUGCUCCGGAUCACUAUAGGAUUCAGUAUUCGCUG